rnacentral:rRNA from 1 species
GACGAACGCUGGCGGCGUGCUUAACACAUGCCAGUCGAACGGAAAGGCCCUGCUUUUGUGGGGUGCUCGAGUGGCGAACGGGUGAGUAACACGUGAGUAACCUGCCCUUGACUUUGGGAUAACUUCAGGAAACUGGGGCUAAUACCGGAUAGGAGCGCCUGCUGCAUGGUGGGGGUUGGAAAGUUUCGGCGGUUGGGGAUGGACUCGCGGCUUAUCAGCUUGUUGGUGGGGUAGUGGCUUACCAAGGCUUUGACGGGUAGCCGGCCUGAGAGGGUGACCGGCCACAUUGGGACUGAGAUACGGCCCAGACUCCUACGGGAGGCAGCAGUGGGGAAUAUUGCACAAUGGGCGGAAGCCUGAUGCAGCAACGCCGCGUGCGGGAUGACGGCCUUCGGGUUGUAAACCGCUUUCGCCUGUGACGAAGCGUGAGUGACGGUAAUGGGUAAAGAAGCACCGGCUAACUACGUG